rnacentral:rRNA from 1 species
UGGGGAAUAUUGGACAAUGGGCGAAAGCCUGAUCCAGCGACGCCGCGUGAGUGAUGAAGGCCUUAGGGUUGUAAAGCUCUUUCAGUAGGGAAGAUAAUGACGGUACCUACAGAAGAAGCCCCGGCUAACUUCGUGCCAGCAGCCGCGGUAAUACGAAGGGGGCUAGCGUUACUCGGAAUUAUUGGGCGUAAAGCGUGCGUAGGCUGUUAAGUAAGUUAAGAGUGAAAUCCCAGGGCUCAACCUUGGAACUGCUUUUAAAACUGCUUAACUAGAGUCUUGGAGAGGAUAGCAGAAUUCCUAGUGUAGAGGUGAAAUUCGUAGAUAUUAGGAGGAAUACCGGAGGCGAAAGCGGCUAUCUGGCCAAGUACUGACGCUGUUGCACGAAAGCGUGGGGAGCAAA